GACGCUGACACACCUGUGUUCUAGCGUAUAUUUACUGCAGUCCGAUAUAGGUCCAGUGGCAGACCUUCGCAGCUCUCUGAUUCAGUAGGUCCACUGAACAGCCCUCAGAAUUGCAGAAUUUUGUCAUUUGGUUAACUUGACUUCAAUCAGCUAACCCUCACCCAGGACUUAACUAUAAUACCAGAUGCUUGACAGCCCUACCACCUCUGAAAUCCCUUCUGGUAUCCAUCCCCUUGGACUCACAUCUUCUUGCCUCAACUGUACUUAAUCACAAGAGUCACCAUCUUGGAGCAGUCACUGUUUGCCUUUUUUGAUCAUGUUUAGAACUCACGUUUAUUUUAAAUUAUACAGGGCUUUCUUUGCAUUUGCCUCAGUCCUUUAUGUUUCUCUAACAAACAUAUUCCAAGGGAGCAUAUACUCUCAGCUGGAUUCAUCAUCUCUUCCCCAGAUCAUUCAUGGGGGAUUCCACCUGGCCCUGUUGAUGUCACUUCUGGGUCCGAGCCAAUGGAGGAAGACUUUGUCAGCUCUGGUCCCUUUGAUGUCAUGUCCGGGCUCGAGCCUAUGGCUAAAGACCCUUCUGAGCCCGACCCCUCUGACUUCACUUCCUGUCUUUUCCUUUAAAAGCCUCCACCUUUUCCUUAUUCCCUCUGUUCUGUUUUGGACU